CUUCAAUCAGUUUGCUUUCCACCUGACUGAGGUCGGUACGUACGUUGGUGCAGUGGAGGAUGAACAGUUACUUUUUGGGAGUUUUGGGGACAUUUUUGGACGAGAGAAAAGCAUGUUUGGCAGGGAAGGAGCUCACACAUAUCUCCUUUUGUGAUUUCAGCACAGUGCAGGGGAAGCUGAGGUCCCCUUUAAGGCAGCCACCACUGGAACCUAAUAUCUAGUCCAGGAGUCAUAGAGAAUAAUAGUUAACGUUUGCUGUUCUGUGAAGUCUCCCAGAUGCCCUAAAUAUGUCAUGGCGGCACCACCACAUCUCCCCACGGGGCUGGUAUCCUUACCCAUGCUGCACCAGCGAGAGAACGCUCGCCUUCCCUCUCUUUUAACUUGCAGCUGAAGGCCUUUUAUUUCCCAAGGAGUAUUGCUCCACACAUAUGGUCAGGCCUUCUUGCCUUCUGCUUCUGAAUGAUGCAACUUAGGGACUUUGUGUACUCUGCAGAAAGGGAGGUUGCGGGGAGUUAAACAUGUUCCGUACGUCGCUCGCGUUGUGUAUGCAGUAGGGUUGUACGGUAUACCGUUACUAGUAUAGUAUCGCGGUACUAAUGAAUCAAAAACGGUACUAUACUCCGUUUGAAAAGCACCGGUUCCCGAGGAGGAUGAGGAACAUGUUCGGCAGCGCACAAUCACGGAGUACUUACAUGCAGACAGAAAAGUGAGAAUGGACGCAUUUUGGUGUAAAAACCAAAGAUAAAGGUGAACUUAUAACACUGAAACAUCCUCAGGAAGAGGUGCUUUAAGACAUGGCUAGCAGCUAACUUCCAUCCACAGUCGGCAGUGUUUUAACUACUUCUAAAUCACUAAUCCUGGCCUCCAUGGCGACAAAGUAAGUUUCUUAUAAGUAGCAUUAUCACUGGAGGACGAGGAAUAGCUAAACAUGCUUCACUACACACCCUAGGAGGAUACAA